GUGGCAUUAGCUCAGAUGGAUAGAGCAGCGGCCUUCUAAGCCGUGGGUCGCGGGUUCGAAUCCUGCAUGCCGCG
rnacentral:tRNA from 1 species